GAGCAGUAGACUAGCCCACAACAAAGCGGUCACCUUGGCAACGCGGCGACUAAGCAACAUCUUCCGCACCGUUUUACAGAACUGGGAUGGAGAGAAGACAGGGAAGGAGAGAGCAAAAGACAGUGACAGUGAUCAAAUGGGAUUCCACGUUGAAGAUCAUAAAAGUCAUAUAACCACAUGUUAAACCAAAAGGGAGCUGGGUUCUCUUCCCCUUUAAGCCAGUGUGCUGAUGCAUGGUAACAUCACAACAGUGACAGGAGGCAGGCUGAAGGAAGGAGGCUGUGGGAACUCCAGGGUUGUGACAGCAUCUGGUUGCAGCAGCGGCCAUGGCAGCCUGCGGUCUCCACCGACAACAAGUCCAACACAAUGGAGUGUUUAUGGGGAGCUGUGCCGCCCCAGAGGGACUAAGCAGCUCAAUUAAAACAACACUCAACCUUCUGUGGUUGUGGUAUUAAUCUCCACCAGGGCAACCCAAAAACGAGGAUUUGAAGGGUGGGGGCCCUUGGCACAAGGGGGACGCAUGGUUCCGUGUGUGCUUGUGCGUUUGGGAUGUGUGUGCGCACCUAUGUGUGUUUGUAUUUGGAUAUAUCUGUGAAAACAAAUCCAUCACAUAAAAGUGUUCUUUCUUUGUUAA